GGCGUCACUACAGACUCCCUGGUUCAAAUCCAGGCUGCGUUUCUAUCAAAAAACCACAAACAUUAUUUGCCAAUAUCAUAACUGGAGCUGGACAUCUUUGGAGCAGAAGAAUGAGGACAGCUUUUGUAUGCUAACGUACACUCCUUAACAGUCUUACUGGAUGAAAAGACAGCAAGAAAACACAUAUGCCAAUAUGCAGACUUUGCAGUGCCUCCUUGUGCGACUACCUUGAGCAGCAGUUUGAGGGACUUUGCAGGGAAAAUGCCGUGCAGUAAGGCGUAGGGGAUUGUUUACAGCAGGACGACCC